rnacentral:rRNA from 1 species
AACGAACGCUGGCGGCAGGCUUAACACAUGCAAGUCGAACGGGUGCAGCAAUGCAUCAGUGGCAGACGGGUGAGUAACACGUGGGAACCUUCCUAGGGGUACGGAACAACUCAGGGAAACUUGAGCUAAUACCGUAUACGUCCGUGAGGAGAAAGAUUCAUCGCCCCUAGACGGGCCCGCGUCGGAUUAGGUAGUUGGUGGGGUAACGGCCUACCAAGCCUACGAUCCGUAGCUGANCUGAGAGGAUGAUCAGCCACCACUGGGACUGAGACACGGCCCAGACUCCUACGGGAGGCAGCAGUGGGGAAUCUUGGACAAUGGGCGCAAGCCUGAUCCAGCCAUGCCGCGUGAGUGAAGAAGGCCU